rnacentral:rRNA from 1 species
CGCGUAGGCGGCUUGUUAAGCUGGAUGUGAAAUCCCCGGGCUCAACCUGGGAACUGCACCCAGAACUGGCAGGCUAGAGUACAGUAGAGGUGAGUGGAAUUUCCUGUGUAGCGGUGAAAUGCGUAGAUAUAGGAAGGAACAUCAGUGGCGAAGGCGGCUCACUGGACUGAUACUGACGCUGAGGUGCGAAAGCGUGGGGAGCAAACA